AUGCUCAGAGGAAAACAAAAAUCAUUGGACAUUGACUCAAAACAUCAAUUAUUAGCAAGCUGUAGUCAGGAGGACAAGGCCAGGACGGCCCAACGUGUGACACAUAUGCAACGACAUGCUGUGGCUUAUGUGGAGGGUUGUGGCUUCUCCUAUUGCUUCGUGAUAGACUUUAUGAAGCACAGCUGCCUGACAGCUGGGAACGCUGUGGCCAGCUGUGUGCUCACGGAGCAGGAGGCAGAGAGGCUGCGUGAGCGGGUGAGAUUCGCUCCUCGCCUCAGACGACUACAAAAUCGCGUGUGCCUGAUGCUCAAGGAGAAAAUGUUAUCUGCUAGCAAGCCACCAACAGGUGCUGCUGUGGAAAUGCAGACAAAUGAGGUUCCUGCUGAUUUAAACAUCAUUUUACAGGUACAUUAUGCCUUUUCAUAAUAAGAUCAGUCCUUCUAAAUGACAUUUCUCUAGCUGUUUGUAUGGAUUCUGUGUUUAUGUUUUCAGGUAUCUAAAUUUUGCCCAUGUUUUAUGCCUCUGUUUCAAUUACAAAUGAUUACCAUUUUAAUGAAAGUUAAGACAGAAAAAUACCAAAAUGUUAACACCUUUCAACUAAUAAUCUCAAACUGUUUGG
rnacentral:lncRNA from 1 species